rnacentral:rRNA from 1 species
AGUGAAUAGAUACCCCGGUAGUCCUAGCCGUAAACGAUACUCGCUAGGUGUCGGCCACGGUGCGACCGCUGUCGGUGCCGUAGGGAAAGCCGUGAAGCGAGCCACCUGGGAAGUACGGCCGCAAGGCUGAAACUUAAAGGAAUUGGCGGGGGAGCACCACAACGGGUGGAGCUUGCGGUUUAAAUUGGAUUCAACGCCGGAAAUCUUACCGGGACCGACAGCAACAUGAAGGCCAGGCUGAAGACUUUGCCGGAUUAGCUGAGAGGUGGUGCAUGGCCGUCGUCAGUUCGUACUGUGAAGCAUCCUGUUAAGUCAGGCAACGAGCGAGACCCACGCCCACAGUUGCCAGCGUACUCUCCGGAGUGACGGGUACACUGUGGGGACCGCCGCUGCUAAAGCGGAGGAAGGAAUGGGCAACGGUAGGUCAGUAUGCCCCGAAUAUCCCGGGCUACACGCGAGCUACAAUGGUUGGUACAAUGGGUAUCUACCCCGAAAGGGGAUGGAAAUCUCCUAAAGCCAAUCUUAGUUCGGAUUGAGGGCUGCAACUCGCCCUC